rnacentral:rRNA from 1 species
GAUGAACGCUGGCGGCGUGCCUAAUACAUGCAAGUCGAGCGAACGGACGAGAAGCUUGCUUUUCUGAUGUUAGCGGCGGACGGGUGAGUAACACGUGGAUAACCUACCUAUAAGACUGGGAUAACUUCGGGAAACCAGAGCUAAUACCGGAUGAUAUUUUGAACCGCAUGGUUCAAAAGUGAAAGACGGUCUUGCUGUCACUUAUAGAUGGAUCCGCGCUGCAUUAGCUAGUUGGUAAGUUAACGGCUUACCAAGGCAACGAUGCAUAGCCGACCUGAGAGGGGGAUCGGCCACACUGGAACUGAGACACGGUCCAGACUCCUACGGGAGGCAGCAGUAGGGAAUCUUCCGCAAUGGGCGAAAGCCUGACGGAGCAACGCCGCGUGAGUGAUGAAGGUCUUCGGAUCGUAAAACUCUGUUAUUAGGGAAGAACAUAUGUGUAAGUAACUGUGCACAUCUUGACGGUACCUAAUCAGAAAGCCACGGCUAACUACGUG